GCUCACUAUCCACCUCCUCCAACAACACACCAAAUAUCGCUUAAUACGCCCAGCACUCAGGGGGGGUCUUCACUCGAGGAAGUGGGUUAUCGGCAGUAAAUGCAGCUGUGCUGGUGUCGCGUGUUCCGUGGCUGCUUCACGUCCCUGGACCCUGGCCAGGAUGCGGAGGAAGAGCACCUAUUUUGUCGAGAGUCAUCGUGGAGGAAGCGUGCCAUGGUGCCACAUACUCCAGCUCAUCCCACCACCCAAACAAGCAGCUUUUUUAUCACAGAAGCUGAGGGGCUCAACGGCUUCACGCUGGCUCCGAAAUGGGACCCCAGUCACUGCGGCCCCUUGGAGUGGGUGUAGAUUUGAAAUGGAUAUGGCGAGGCAUGAUCUUCAGUCGGAGAUCCACUCAGUGAAUGAUCACAUUAUGGGCCCUGCAAUGGCGUGGGGUUCAGGAAAGCUAUGCGGCAGUCGGGGGCAAAGAAAUGAACAAGUGUUUCAUCUGUCACUUUCUCAAUAAAGCGCUCAAUAAAAGUGGGAAAUUGAUGAUGUUACCGGCUGUAUUACAUCUGAGGGCUUCACAAUGAGAAAGAAAGAGAGAGAGAGAGAGUGAAAGAGAGAGCGAAA